rnacentral:rRNA from 1 species
UACGAAGGGGGGCUAGCGUUGCUCGGAAUUACUGGGCGUAAAGGGCGCGUAGGCGGCGCUGUUAGUCAGGCGUGAAAUUCCUGGGCUUAACCGUGGGGACUGCGCUUGAUACGGCAGUGCUAGAGGGGUGGAAAGAGGGGUCGCGGAAAUUCCCCAGUGUAGAGGUGAAAAUUCGUAGAUAUUGGGGAAGAACACCGGUGGCGAAGGCGGCGACCUGGUCCUUCUGACGCUGAGGCGCGACAGCGUGGGGG